GUACUGAGUUUUGAUCAAAUGCCAUAUCUACAAUAAGGAAGUUUCACUGCCUCAGUGAAAAUCAAUCUAAGGGACACAAAGUUUAUAUUUUUCGCUUCUGGGCAUUUAUUAUUUUCAUUCCAAAGUGAUGGGCUACUGUUAAAAUGAUGAAAUAAAACUAGUAAACUAAUGAGCUGAUAAAACCCUACCAGAUUAAACGAAACUAAAAAAAAAAGCAAAUAAGAGCGAUUGAAGAAAGAGAUGAAUACCUGAUUUGACAGCGAUAUAGAGAGAUGGAGUCGGUGCAAUUUGAAGCUUGAAUCAGGGCUUUUGGCGGUGAAGAAUCUGGGCUCAACUAAAUCUCCCACACACUAGAUUCUCUCUCCCAAACGUAUUUUAUUUUUAACUUU
rnacentral:lncRNA from 1 species